GGUUGACUGUCCCUGCUCCCAGAGAAAGGCAAGGCCAGGCAAAACUCUCGCUGUCCACUAUGAUAAAAAGGGCUGAGAGGACCUGUGACGAAUGACAAUGCCCCUGUCUGUAGAUAUCUUCAUCACUAACAAGGAGCCCCAGAUGACCCCAAGGAAGGUGUUAGGGAGAGACUUAUCAGACUAUAUUUGGGAAGAAACUGAGACUUUCCUUGAGCUAUGAUUGGAUACAACAAACUCACUUAUAAAUGAUGGUUCCACUGGGAUUCCAGCUUCUUUCCUCUGCUAAAGACCCUGACUA
rnacentral:lncRNA from 1 species